GCGACGGCGGCCCGCACAAGCGUUGGAGCAUGUGCUAUAAGUCGACCCAACGCGCAGAACGAUACCCAUGAGAUGACAUCAUGAGAAUCUGUUUGAGAUAGUAGGAUGCCAUCUGGCACUCAGAGACAGCUGCUGCAUGCUGUCGUCAGAUCGUGUCGUGAGAUGCUCGCNUACGUCCGGCAACGAGCGCAACCCCUAUAUUCAGUUGCUCAGCGCGUAAUGGCUGGAACUGUGAAGAGAAUGCCCGAGUUAACUGGGAGGAAGGUGAGGAUGACGUCAACUCCUCAUGGCCCUUAUGUCUGGGGCUACACACGUGCUACAAUAGUAUGUACAACGGGCAGCCAGCCGGAGACGCUGAGCUACUCCCUUAAAGCAUAUCUCAGUCCGGAUUGGAGUCUGCAACUCGACGUCCUAUGAAGUUGGAAUCGCUCUAAUCGUCGAUCAGCAUGCCACGCUGCUACGUUCCCGGGCCUUGUACACACCGCCCGUCACACCAUGACGA
rnacentral:rRNA from 1 species